UAUUGCACAAUGGGGGAAACCCUGAUGCAGCGACGCCGCGUGAGUGAAGAAGUAUCUCGGUAUGUAAAGCUCUAUCAGCAGGAAAGAUAAUGACGGUACCUGACUAAGAAGCCCCGGCUAACUACGUUCCAGCAGCCGCGGUAAUACGUAGGGGGCCAGCGUGAGCCGGAGUUACUGGGUGUAAAGGGAGCGUAGACGGCAGCGCAAGUCUGGAGUUAAAUGCCGGGGCCCAACCCCGGAACUGCUUUGGAAACUGUGCGGCUCGAGUGCGGGAGAGGUAGGCGGAAUUCCUAGUGUAGCGGUGAAAUGCGUAGAUAUUAGGAGGAACACCAGUGGCGAAGGCGGCUUACUGGACCGUAACUGACGUUGAGGCUCGAAAGCGUGGGGAGCAAAC
rnacentral:rRNA from 1 species